rnacentral:misc_RNA from 1 species
UGGCCUCCAACACUCAGCCAGCC